rnacentral:rRNA from 1 species
CCCUACGGGGGGCAGCAGUGAGGAAUAUUGGUCAAUGGGCGAGAGCCUGAACCAGCCAGGUCGCGUGAAGGAUGACGGCCCUACGGGUUGUAAACUUCUUUUGUCAGGGAGCAAUUGGGUCCACGCGUGGGCUUAGCGAGAGUACCUGAGGAAAAAGCAUCGGCUAACUCCGUGCCAGCAGCCGCGGUAAUACGGAGGAUGCGAGCGUUAUCCGGAUUUAUUGGGUUUAAAGGGUGCGUAGGCGGAAUAUCAAGUCAGCGGUAAAAAUUCGAGGCUCAACCCCGCCCAGCCGUCGGAACUGCCGG